UCUGGCUGCAAGCUCUCUGCAACUCUCACAUGGUCGCCGGCUGAGCGAAGCAGGGCUGCGCCUGGUCAGUACCUGGAUGGGAGACCACAUGGGAACACUAGGUUGCUGCCGGAA
rnacentral:rRNA from 1 species